CUGGCGGCAUGCUUACACAUGCAAGUCGAACGGUAGCAUGGUCUAGCUUGCUAGAUUGAUGACGAGUGGCGAACGGGUGAGUAACGCGUAGGAAUAUGCCUUGAAGUGGGGGACAACUUGGGGAAACUCAAGCUAAUACCGCAUAAUUUCUUAGGAAAAAAGCUGGGGACUCGUAAGGGCCUGGCGCUUCAAGAUUAGCCUGCGUACGAUUAGCUAGUUGGUGGGGUAAGGGCCUACCAAGGCGACGAUCGUUAGCUGGUCUGAGAGGAUGACCAGCCACACUGGAACUGAGACACGGUCCAGACUCCUACGGGAGGCAGCAGUGGGGAAUAUUGGACAAUGGGGGCAACCCUGAUCCAGCAAUGCCGCGUGUGUGAAGAAGGCCUGAGGGUUGUAAAGCACUUUCAGUGGGGAGGAGGUUUGAGUGUUUAAGAGAUGUUCAAAUGGACGUUACCCACAGAAGAAGCACCGGCUAACUCCGUGCCAGCAGCCGCGGUAAU
rnacentral:rRNA from 1 species